rnacentral:lncRNA from 1 species
UCUCUCACUGAAAAGCUUCAAAACUCUCACAAAAGCUUUCUAAAACCUCUCUUGAAGUCUUUUUACAUCUCUAGAAUGUCAUCAACUUUCCUACGCAACUGACAGCUCAUCAAUUAAAGUUUUAUAGACUUCACAAACUCCAAAAUAUUGUUACACUAGAAAAUGGAGUCCCAAUCAAGUCUAGAAUCAUCCGUGGCCGUC